rnacentral:rRNA from 1 species
UACGAAGGGGGCUAGCGUUGUUCGGAAUUACUGGGCGUAAAGCGCACGUAGGCGGAGUGUUAAGUCAGAGGUGAAGUCCCGGAGCUCAACUUCGGAACUGCCUUUGAUACUGGCAAUCUAGAGUCCGGAAGAGGUUAGUGGAAUUCCCAGUGUAGAGGUGAAAUUCGUAGAUAUUGGGAAGAACACCAGUGGCGAAGGCGGCUAACUGGUCCGGUACUGACGCUGAGGUGCGAAAGCGUGGGGAGCAAACAGG